rnacentral:rRNA from 1 species
ACUACGGGUGGCAGCAGUGAGGAAUAUUGGUCAAUGGCCGAGAGGCUGAACCAGCCAAGUCGCGUGAGGGAAGACGGCCCUACGGGUUGUAAACCUCUUUUGUCGGGGAGCAAAGCGAGUCACGUGUGACUCAUUGAGAGUACCCGAAGAAACAGCAUCGGCUAACUCCGUACCAGCAGCCGCGGUAAUACGGAGGAUGCGAGGGUUAUCCGGAUUUAUUGGGUUGAAAGGGUGCGAAGGCGGAGGUGCAAGUCAGCGGUCAAAUGUCGGGGCUCAACCCCGUACUGCCGUUGAAACUGCAUCCCUUGAGUGCGCGAGAAGUAUGCGGAAUGCGUGGUGUAGCGGUGAAAUGCAUAGAUAUCACGCAGAACUCCGAUUGCGAAGGCAGCAUACCGGCGCGCAACUGACGCUCAUGCACGAAAGCGUGGGUAUCGAACAGGAUUAGAUACCCCUGUAGUC